UUUCUUCUACGAAGCUACUUAUCCCUUAAAUUCUCUCCUUUUAAUUUUUAGGAUUAAUUUUAUACAGCUACUUAUAAACAUAUUGUAUAUUUCUACGAAGUUUAAUUUUUUAUAUUUAUUUAUGUAAAAGUUCAGUAAUAUUCAUAUUUAUUCAUCUGAUUUAUUAUCGUUAAAAUAUAAUUUAUUUUUUAAUAAAAAAUAAGUGAAAUGAUAUUUUUGCCAUCAUAAAUAUUUUUUUUUCAAAGGCUCUAAUUAUUAGAAUUAUACAGAAAAACGGUCAUCUUCCAUUUUUUUUAGCUACCAUCACAAAUAAUAUAAAAAGGGCAAAAAGGUCAAUUCACCCCAUUCACUAAUCAGGGUUGAGUAUUUUUUUACCUAUGGUUAACUAUAUUUUUUCUAGCGGGUUCUAAAAUCGGGGGUAUAUGUAAAAAUAUUAGAAAUUUUGAAGAAAUAAAUAUGAAAAGUUAAAUUCUAUAGAAAUAUAUUUGCUAUGGAGUUGUAUUCAAUCUAAUUUCUAUUUAAUAUGGGACUAAUAUUUUUAACAAUAGGGUAUGUGUUCUAUUUAAUUUGUUUUACUCGGUAUGGUUCAUAGGCUACUAGUUGUGAACCAGGUUCUUAGUCAACAUACACUUGAACAAGCCCAAGUCUCAAUAUUAAACCAUAUUAGCUAGUUCACAUCUCCUCUUUAUUUUUUAAUUAAUUUUUAUGGUAUUAUGUGUUAGUUAAUUCUACUAUGAGUGUACUAUGAAUCAGGAUAGAGAGAACCAUUAUUCAAAUUAAUUGAUUCCUUUCCUAUCUUAAUAAUUUUCAUUCAAAAUUUGGCUGACAUUCUGCUCUAAUACCAACUGCGAAGCCCCACUUUCCAGUGGAACAUCUAUUUUAAAGCUGCUCUAAUUCUAACAUGCUUAACUUUAUUUAUAUUGUGGACUUAACCACUAUCCAACAUAUUAUAGCUAGUUUAAGAACUUUCACAAGCACCAAACAAUGUUAGACUCAUCUUGCUAGUCUUAGCUGAGGAGCUGUACUCCACCCACGAUGACCAUCAACUGGAAAACCACGCUCUAUCCACUAUAUGAUUCUGACUCAGUCAAAAUUUAUCUCAUAAUUCCGACUGGUAUCCGUAAAUUACAUGAAUUAACACUACACUUGUCUUAAAUUCUCAAUA
rnacentral:lncRNA from 1 species